rnacentral:tRNA from 1 species
CGGAGAGUGGCGCAGUUGGCUAGCGCACCAGGCUGGGGGUCUGGGGGUCGCGGGUUCGAGUCCCGCCUCUCCGA